CUCAACUGAGGAACUGCGUCCGAUACUGCCUGGCUUGAGGUCUGGAGGGGAGAACGGAAUUCCUGGUGGAGCGGUGAAAUGCGUAGAGAUCAGGAGGAACGUCGGCGGCGAAAGCGGUUCUCUGGACAGAUUCUGACGCUGAGGCGCGAAAGCUAGGGGAGCAAACGGGAUUAGAUACCCCGGUAGUCCUAGCCGUAAACGAUGGGUGCUAGGUAGUGGUGAUUCCUAUUUCGCCACUGCUGGAGCUAAUGUUUUAAGCACCCCGCCUGGGGAGUACGGCCGCAAGGCUAAAACUCAAAGGAAUUGACGGGGGCUCACACGAGCGGUGGAGCAUGUUGCUUAAUUCGAAGCAACGCGAAGAACCUUACCCGGGUUUGAAAUGCUAGUGGUAGCGCGGGGAAACCAUGCGUGACCCUUUAACGAGGGAGCU
rnacentral:rRNA from 1 species